rnacentral:rRNA from 1 species
GGCCGCAAUGUUGAAACUCAAAGGAAUAGACGGGGGCCCGCGCAAGCGGCGGAGCAUGUGGCUUAAUUUGACGCAACGCGAAGAACCUUACCAAGGCUUGACAUACACCGGAAACGUCCGGAGACAGGCGCCCCCUUGUGGUCGGUGUACAGGUGGUGCAUGGCUGUCGUCAGCUCGUGUCGUGAGAUGUUGGGUUAAGUCCCGCAACGAGCGCAACCCUUGUCCCGUGUUGCCAGCAAGCCCUUCGGGGUGUUGGGGACUCACGGGAGACCGCCGGGGUCAACUCGGAGGAAGGUGGGGACGACGUCAAGUCAUCAUGCCCCUUAUGUCUUGGGCUGCACACGUGCUACAAUGGCCGGUACAAUGAGCUGCGAUACCGCGAGGUGGAGCGAAUCUCAAAAAGCCGGUCUCAGUUCGGAUUGGGGUCUGCAACUCGACCCCAUGAAGUCGGAGUCGCUAGUAAUCGCAGAUCAGCAUUGCUGCGGUGAAUACGUUCCCGGGCCUUGUACACACCGCCCGUCACGUCACGAAAGUCGGUAACACCGAAGCCG